CGAAACGGGAGCGGGAGCAGUUUGUGCUGAUGCAGCGGCGGCGGACGCCAGCUGGGAGCUCAGCUGUGCAGCGCUGCCCCAGGGGCCCCGAAAGAACAAGUGAGUGGCCCCGGUGGCGCCGGCUUGCCGCGGCCCCCCGGAUAGCGGGAUGCGGGACAAGUCCCCUAGAAUCGGGACGUCUGGGCACCCUGCUUCCCCCAGACGCGCUCCGCGUUCGGCAGGAUCGGCCCCGGCUGUUCUCCCCUCCGGCCAAGAUGCUGUGGGUGCUGUGGUGUCCCGUGCUGCUGGGAUGGGUCACUGUGGGACCAGACACGGCCCCUCAGGCGAGCGACGGCCCCCAGUUCUGGGCCCGGGCCGGCCAGGACAUCACGCUGGUGUGCAGGGCCCGAGCGCCCCCAAAAGCCGACCUACGUCACCUGCGCAUUCACUGGCACCUCCUGCGGGAGCCGGCGGGGGGCUCCGUGGUGCACAGCUACCACACGGGGGCUGACCAGCUGGGAGACCAGGCCGAGGAGUUCAGGGGCCGGACGCGGCUCCUCCUACAGGGGAUCCGCCAGGGGGUGGUGGCCCUGAGCCUGACCGGUGUGCGGCCCUCGGACAGCGGCACGUACCGGUGCUUCAUCAUGGACAGCCAGGCUGACAGCAUCAUGGACAUCGUCCUCCACGUGGCAGCAGGGCUGCAGGCGCUGGAGCAGCGAUUCCCCGGGUGGGCGAUGGCUGUCGUGACGCUGGCGCUCGUGACCCUCGUGUGCGUGGUGCUGAUCCAUUGGGGGUUGCCGCGUAUCCCCGCCGAAGGGCUUCAUCUUGGAUGGCGAAGAGCGCCCGGCUCCCAGCACUGGCACCGUGUCCGGACGGACCCCCCCGAAGUGGACAUGGCUGAGCGCUAGGUCUGCAUGGCCCCCCCCCUCGUCCGCCCCUCAGCCGGCGGGGAGUGACGGGCUCAGACUGCAGCGGGGAAGAACGGAGGUUUCUGAGGGGAGAGAUGUGACGAAGUGGGGGAUUUUCUUGUUGUUUCCAAUGGUUUGCAUGCGGAGGGGGUGGGACUCAGUUUCCCUGGGUGUUACUGGUUUAACGAGGUGAGGGGAGAGGGAGUAUGUUCUGCAGAGGACCGGAGAGAGGACGUGGGGACCCAGCCGAUGGCCGGGAGGAUGGAGACCCCAGCGACCGGUGACCUGAGACCCCGACCCGGAGACCCAGCUGAGGAGACUCAGCCGGUUCUGGCCAGUGGGAGGACAAUGGGCUGCAGAGUGAGGAGCCAGUGACCGAACCAGCCGGUUCCAGCCAGAGGACAGAAACGAGGAGAGGAGGCCCCGGUUUACGACCCUGUUUACCUGGAGAGAAGACAAUGGACAGAGGCGGGGCCUGGGGCCGGGGAUCUCAGAUGCCCAGCUGGGAAGCAGGGGGGCUCUGGGCUGGAGAGGGGGAGCAGGCAGCGCCCACCUGGAUGCAGAGAGACUGGGAUGUGCUGGGCUGAGGGAGGCCAGGCCUGAGGCCCUGAGAGUUUCCUGUGCUGGGUUCAACUCUCAAUAAACCU
rnacentral:lncRNA from 1 species